rnacentral:ncRNA from 1 species
AUACAGGCAGUGAAGAGAAGAGUAUGAAAACAGGAUCCGGCCAAGAGAGCUCCGUUUGGUGAGAGGGAGUACGGAUACGUUUCAGAAGAUGGCCUCUGAGCCUGGCGUGCCGAAUAGUGAGGCAGCCCGGGAUCUCCCGUUACAGAGACAGGGUAUCGGAGUUUCUCCCGUACCUGCGAGGCUGGCAGAGUGAUCUGCCGGUAAAAUUGGGUGGUAACACGAACAGACGCUUCGUCCCUUUG